rnacentral:rRNA from 1 species
GAUGAACGCUGGCGGCGUGCCUAAUACAUGCAAGUCGAGCGAACAGACGAUGAUCUUGCUCCACUGACGUUAGCGGCGGACGGGUGAGUAACACGUGGAUAACCUAGCUAUAAGACAUGGGUAAGGUCGGGAAACCGUAGCUAAUACCAGAUACUAUAUUUAACCUGAUGGUUCGAUAGUUAAUUACGUGUUUGCUGUGACUUCUACCUGUAUCCUCGCGGCAUUAGUUAGGUGGUAAGGUAACGGCUUAACAAGGCAACGAUGCGUAGCCGACCGGAGAGGGUGAUCGCCGACACAGAAACUGAGCCACGGUCCAGACUCCUACGGGAGGCCGAAGUAGCGACUCUUGCGAAAUGGGGGAAAGAUUGACGGAGCAGCGCAGCGCGAGUGAUGAAGGUCUUCGGAUCGUAAAACUCUGUUCUGAGGGAAGAACAAAUGUGCAAGUAACUAUGCACGUCUUGACGGUACCUAAUCAGAAAGCCACGGCUAACUACGUG